rnacentral:tRNA from 1 species
GGCUCCAUAGUGUAGUGGUUAACACAUCCGCUUUACAUGCAGAAAGUCCUGGAUUCACGGCCCAGGUGGAGCCA